UUUGUAUAUCACAGAGAAAGGUAGGAACACAAAACAGGAAGAAGCUUAAAUGUUUGCAGUGGACAGGAAAUGUGAACACGUCACACAACUGCUGUGGUCAAAGCUACAGGAGCUGUUUGAGGUUGGUGUAAAAGGAAGGAAGCACAGAGAGGUGAUAGAAGGAGGAGCUGAAUAUAAACUCUGGUCUUAUCUACAUUAAGUGCAGCUUCUCUUUGUUCUGCAUUUAUUAUCAAUGCAAAGUCGAACACUUUGAGAUUAGAUGCAGAUCAGCGUGCAGGGCUGGACGUGAGGAUGGGGCACUCUUUGCUCUGUUUGCUGGGGUUAUUCUAUUUCUUCAUGUUUCCAGCCUGUUUGACAGCUGAUUGAAACACAUAAAUUCGUGCUCAGUACAGUCAUCCAUGGAAACACUGAAGAACUUGGAGUGAAGGCCACUCUGACAGCAGACAGAUUAACCAUACCAGCAGGGGGCAGUGUGACACUGACCUGUGAUGUGAAACACUCUGCUGACUUUGAAUAUUACUGGUUCAGAGAAGCCCGUUUAUACUCUAAUCAGAAGACCGCAGUAGUUGGUGAAUCAAACAGAGAACUUGUGACCUCUGAAGGCGGCAUCUACAACUGCAGAGGACGUAUAAAAGGGACAAAUUCAAUCACAGUAGAAAGUAACUCAGUCAUCAUUCAGGAAACUG
ensembl:lncRNA